UACGAGGGGGGGCGAGCGUUGUUCGGAAUUACUGGGCGUAAAGCGCGUGUAGGCUGCUCUGCAAGUCGGAUGUGAAAGCCCCUGGGCUCAACCUAGGAAGUGCACUCGAAAACUGCAGAGCUUGAGUCCUGGAGAGGAAGGCGGAAUUCUCGGUGUAGAGGUGAAAAUUCGUAGAUAUCGAGAGGAACACCGGUGGCGAAGGCGGCCUUCUGGACAGUGACUGACGCUGAGACGCGAAAGCGUGGGGAGCAAACAGG
rnacentral:rRNA from 1 species